rnacentral:lncRNA from 1 species
CACACUGUUUAAUGGAGGGCUUGGCAGUGCUGAAUCAAUGGUUGGACUCAACCAUCUUAUAGGUCUUUUCUGCCUAGAUGGAUUCUAUGGUUCUCUGCAUACUUUGAAUUGAUGAGGAGCGUGGCACAGAGAUGGGAUGCCCUUAGGGGAAGAGAAUUACCAUCAGUUCUCACCAUGGAAGACAUGAAUCAUCCUCACCUGCUUUUCCCCUCACUGGGAGAAAGAAGUACUGAAAUUCAGCACUACAGAAGCACAGGGCAGACUGGACCUGUAUUACACCAGGGAUGAAUGUACGCAGUUAUCCACACCAGCACCUGGGCAGAAUGGAACAGGCUCAGGCUGCACUUCUUCUGUGGCAACUACUGCUUAAAGCAGGAGAACAUCCCAAGAGGAGCCUGAGUGACAGCUGACAAAAAACACAGACAUGGAAAAUUGAAUUCUGCUGUUCUGCAACAUCAUGGACAUCUGCAAAUGAAGGUACCAAGAACACAAAUAUUCAGGAGGCUGAGGCUACUUAGAAGAUUCAAAAUUAACUCAUAUUGUAGAAAUAUUUAAGAAAAUGCUAAUUUGAAAGUAACCUAAAUUCAUUUUAAACAAAAUGCAGUGUAAAUCCUUAAGUUGCCAGAGGAGUGUUAUGAGUCAGUGUGCUUAAAGAUUUAACCAAAACCAUCAUUACAGAAAAAAGGGCCCCAAAACUGUAAAUAAAUCCGUUUGGCUUUUUUUUUUUUUUUUUUUUUUUUUAAUUAUUCAGUUAAGUGUUGGCUUUGGAAGAAAAAAGUUUCUGUAAUAGCCAAACAAAUGACGUCCCUUAUCAGAAAGGUUCUCUAAAACUCCUUGGUGUGUGAAAACUAAUACCACAGCAACAAGAGGUUUGCUUUUGUCAGACUCUGAAGCAACAUCCUCCAGUGCUCCCUGGGGAAAGAAGUGGGAAGUGACAGCGAUCAAGGCGUCGGGAUGCUCAAGCAGAGAAUAGGAUGAUGUUAGUAACUGAAAGGCAGCAGGCCUUCUCACAGCUGCUGUAUCAGACAAGCCUCAAAAACCAAAAUCCUCCUUGAGAUGCCCAAACUAUAUUUCUGUUGGCUAAGACUUUAAAAACUUUAAAAAGUUGCUUGAAUUAACAGCUGUCUUUGGCUUGGUUUUUCACCUUAGUCAGUUGUUCGUAUAUCUUCCUGGCCUCCUAUUUGGCUUCAUUUAACUGCUGUGUGCGCUUUAACUUUCUGUAAUUACUUUUACACUUGUGUUUUUUGAAGCAAACCUAUGACUCCACAACUCAUUGUCCUUCCAUUCUCUCUUUAGAAAAUAGGAAAGCAAUGAAUUAUUUUCCAGCAUUGCACACUGCUGCUUUCCACCCUAUUAAAUUCAAGCAUACCUUUCUACAAGAUCACAGCAAACCAAAGGUUUCUUCUCAACAUUAUAAAAGU